AGACCAUGAUGUGCACACUUCCUCUGCAAUUGUUUAAACCUCUCCCAAGCUUCAUACAAAGAUUCACCCUCAAACUGAACAAAACUGAUAAUUUUAUUUCUAAUUU